GACGAACGCUGGCGGCGUGCUUAACACAUGCAAGUCGAACGGAAAGGCCCUGCUUUUGUGGGGUGCUCGAGUGGCGAACGGGUGAGUAACACGUGAGUAACCUGCCCUUGACUUUGGGAUAACUUCAGGCAACUGGGGCUAAUACCGGCUAGGAGCUCCUGCUGCAUGGUGGGGGUUGGAAAGUUUCGGCGGUUGGGGAUGGACUCGCGGCUUAUCAGCUUGUUGGUGGGGUAGUGGCUUACCAAGGCUUUGACGGGUAGCCGGCCUGAGAGGGUGACCGGCCACAUUGGGACUGAGAUACGGCCCAGACUCCUACGGGAGGCAGCAGUGGGGAAUAUUGCACAAUGGGCGGAAGCCUGAUGCAGCAACGCCGCGUGCGGGAUGACGGCCUUCGGGUUGUAAACCGCUUUCGCCUGUGACGAAGCGUGAGUGACGGUAAUGGGUAAAGAAGCACCGGCUAACUACGUG
rnacentral:rRNA from 1 species